rnacentral:rRNA from 1 species
UACGUAGGGGGCAAGCGUUGUCCGGAAUCAUUGGGCGUAAAGAGCGUGUAGGCGGCUUGGUAAGUCCGCUGUGAAAGUCCAGGGCUCAACCCUGGAAUGCCGGUGGAAACUGUCGGGCUAGAGUCCGGAAGGGGCGAGUGGAAUUCCUGGUGUAGCGGUGAAAUGCGCAGAUAUCAGGAGGAACACCAAUGGCGAAGGCAGCUCGCUGGGACGUGACUGACGCUGAGACGCGAAAGCGUGGGGAGCAAACAGG